rnacentral:rRNA from 1 species
AACGAACGCUGGCGGCAGGCCUAACACAUGCAAGUCGAGCGAAGCCUUCGGGCUUAGCGGCGGACGGGUGAGUAACGCGUGGGAACGUGCCCUUUGCUACGGAAUAGCCCCGGGAAACUGGGAGUAAUACCGCAGGUGCCCUUCGGGGGAAAGAUUUGGCGGCAAAGGAUCGGCCCGCGUUGGAUUAGGUAGUUGGUGGGGUAAUGGCCUACCAAGCCGACGAUCCAUAGCUGGUUUGAGAGGAUGAUCAGUCCACACUGGGACUGAGACACGGCCCAGACUCCUACGGGAGGCAGCAGUGGGGAAUUUUAGACAAUGGGGGAAACCCUGAUCUAGCCAUGCCGCGUGAUCGAUGAAGGCCUUAGGGUUGUAAAGAUCUUUCAGUGGGGAAGAUAAUGACUGUACCCACAGAAGAAGCCCCGGCUAACUCCGUGCCAGCCGCCGCAGUAAGAC